GAUGAACGCUGGCGGCGUGCCUAAUACAUGCAAGUCGAGCGAACAGACGAGGAGCUUGCUCCUCUGACGUUAGCGGCGGACGGGUGAGUAACACGUGGAUAACCUACCUAUAAGACUGGGAUAACUUCGGGAAACCGGAGCUAAUACCGGAUAAUAUAUUGAACCGCAUGGUUCAAUAGUGAAAGACGGUUUUGCUGUCACUUAUAGAUGGAUCCGCGCCGAAUUAGCUAGUUGGUAAGGUAACGGCUUACCAAGGCAACGAUGCGUAGCCGACCUGAGAGGGGAUCGGCCACACUGGAACUGAGACACGGUCCAGACUCCUACGGGAGGCAGCAGUAGGGAAUCUUCCGCAAUGGGCGAAAGCCUGACGGAGCAACGCCGCGUGAGUGAUGAAGGUCUUCGGAUCGUAAAACUCUGUUAUUAGGGAAGAACAAAUGUGUAAGUAACUAUGCACGUCUUGACGGUACCUAAUCAGAAAGCCACGGCUAACUACGUG
rnacentral:rRNA from 1 species